CCUACGGGAGGCAGCAGUCGAGAAUCAUUCACAAUGGGGGAAACCCUGAUGGUGCGACGCCGCGUGGGGGAAUGAAGGUCUUCGGAUUGUAAACCCCUGUCAUGUGGGAGCAAAUUAAAAAGAUAGUACCACAAGAGGAAGAGACGGCUAACUCUGUGCCAGCAGCCGCGGUAAUACAGAGGUCUCAAGCGUUGUUCGGAAUCACUGGGCGUAAAGAGUGCGUAGGCUGUUUCGUAAGUCGUGUGUGAAAGGCGCGGGCUCAACCCGCGGACGGCACAUGAUACUGCGAGACUAGAGUAAUGGAGGGGGAACCGGAAUUCUCGGUGUAGCAGUGAAAUGCGUAGAUAUCGAGAGGAACACUCGUGGCGAAGGCGGGUUCCUGGACAUUAACUGACGCUGAGGCACGAAGGCCAGGGGAGCGAAAGGGAUUAGAUACCCUGGUAGUC
rnacentral:rRNA from 1 species